GACGAACGCUGGCGGCGUGCUUAACACAUGCAAGUCGAACGGAAGGGCCCCUUUGGGGGUCCUCGAGUGGCGAACGGGUGAGUAACACGUGCGUAACCUGCCCUUGACUUCGGGAUAACUUCAGGAAACUGGGGCUAAUACCGGGGAGGAAUCCUUGCUGCAUGGUGGGGGGUGGAGAGCUGCGGCGGUUUUGGAUGGAGUCGCGGCCUAUCAGCUUGUUGGUGGGGUAGUGGCUUACCGAGGCUUUGACGGGUAGCCGGCCUGGGAGGGCGACCGGCCACAGUGGGACUGAGAGACGGCCCCGACUCCUACUGGUGGCAGCAGUGGGGAAUAGUGCACAAUGGGCGGAAGCCUGAUGCAGCACCGCCGCGGGCGGGAGGACGGCCUUCGGGUUGGAAUCCGCUUUCAGCAGGGGCGAAGCUUGUGGUGACGGUACCUGCAGAAGAAGCACCGGCUAACUACGUG
rnacentral:rRNA from 1 species